ACUGCUCAGUAACACGUGGACAACCUGCCCAAAGGUCCGGGAUAACCCCGGGAAACUGGGGAUAAUACCGGAUAAAUCACAGGUACUGGAAGGUCUUGUGGUUGAAACUUCCGGGGCCUUUGGAUGGGUCUGCGGCGGAUUAGGUUGUUGCCGGUGUAACGUACCGUCAAGCCUGUAAUCCGUACGGGUUGUGGGAGCAAGAGCCCGGAGAUGGAUUCUGAGACACGAAUCCAGGCCCUACGGGGCGCAGCAGGCGCGAAAACUCUACAAUGCAUGCAACUGCGAUAGGGGAACAUCGAGUGAUACUCAUAUUGGGUGUCUGUCCCACCGUCUAAAAAACGGUGGUUAGCAAGGGCCGGGCAAGACCGGUGCCAGCCGCCGCGGUAAUACCGGCGGCUCGAGUGGUGGCCGAUAUUAUUGAGUCUAAAGGGUCCGUAGCCGGCUUUGCAAGUCUUUUGGGAAAUCCAGCGGCUUAACCGUUGGUCGUCCGGGAGAUACUACAUUGCUUGGGACUGGGAGAGGUAGGAGGUACUCAGGGGGUAGGAGUGAAAUCCUGUAAUCCUUUGGGGACCACCGGUGGGCGAAGGCGUCCUACCAGAACAGGUCCGACGGUGAGGGACGAAAGCUAGGGGCACGAACCGGAUUAGAUACCCGGGUAGUCCUAGCCGUAAACGAUGCUCGCUAGGUGUCACAACAAUCGUGAAUUGUUGUGGUGCCGUAGGGAAGCCGUGAAGCGAGCCACUUGGGAAGUACGACCGCAAGGUUGAAACUUAAAGGAAUUGGCGGGGGAGCAC
rnacentral:rRNA from 1 species